GACGAACGCUGGCGGCGUGCCUAAUACAUGCAAGUAGAACGCUGAAGGAGGAGCUUGCUUCUCUGGAUGAGUUGCGAACGGGUGAGUAACGCGUAGGUAACCUGCCUGGUAGCGGGGGAUAACUAUUGGAAACGAUAGCUAAUACCGCAUAAUAGCAGUUAUUGCAUGAUAACUGUUUGAAAGGUGCAAUUGCACCACUACCAGAUGGACCUGCGUUGUAUUAGCUAGUUGGUGGGGUAACGGCUCACCAAGGCGACGAUACAUAGCCGACCUGAGA
rnacentral:rRNA from 1 species